CAGUAGCCGCGGUAAAACGGAGGGAGCUAGCGUUGUUCGGAAUUACUGGGCGUAAAGCGCGCGUAGGCGGUUACUCAAGUCAGAGGUGAAAGCCCGGGGCUCAACCCCGGAACUGCCUUUGAAACUAGGUGACUAGAAUCUUGGAGAGGUCAGUGGAAUUCCGAGUGUAGAGGUGAAAUUCGUAGAUAUUCGGAAGAACACCAGUGGCGAAGGCGACUGACUGGACAAGUAUUGACGCUGAGGUGCGAAAGCGUGGGGAGCAAACAGGAUUAGAUACCCCCGUAGUCCCUGUCUCUUAUAC
rnacentral:rRNA from 1 species